AACGAACGCUGGCGGCAGGCCUAACACAUGCAAGUCGAACGCUCGUAGCAAUACGGGAGUGGCAGACGGGUGAGUAACGCGUGGGAACAUACCCUUUGGUUCGGAAUAACUUGAGGAAACUUGAGCUAAUACCGGAUACGGCAGAGAUGCGAAAGAUAUAUCGCCGAAGGAUUGGCCCGCGUUCGAUUAGCUAGUUGGUGAGGUAAUGGCUCACCAAGGCGACGAUCGAUAGCUGGUCUGAGAGGAUGACCAGCCACACUGGGACUGAGACACGGCCCAGACUCCUACGGGAGGCAGCAGUGGGGAAUAUUGGACAAUGGGCGCAAGCCUGAUCCAGCCAUGCCGCGUGAAUGAUGAAGGCCUUAGGGUUGUAAAGUUCUUUCGCCAGGGACGAUAAUGACGGUACCUGGAUAAGAAGCCCCGGCUAACUUCGUGCCAGCCGCCGCCGUAAAAC
rnacentral:rRNA from 1 species